rnacentral:misc_RNA from 1 species
GUCUUUAGGAGGACUGCCACUACCAGGAGAUCCUGUGAGCGGUGUAGGAAGGAUGUAUUGUUCAGUAAAGGAUCUCGAGAGUGGCUGUCCUCAUGUAGACCAGGCACCAGAUUCAAGGAAUCAAUCAAUAUUUUGCGACAUGCCCAUUUGACUUUGCAUUUUGCUGAAACAUGAUUUUAUGUCAUCAUUCUUGCGUAGCCUGGAAGCAUUUGUAACAAACAGUUUAGUGUUUGUUUUGUUUAACGACACCACUUAAUCACAUUGAUGCAUUAAUCAAAGUCUAAUGAAUGUCUACGUUUUUCCAAUAGUAGCAAGGGAUCUUUUAUAUGCACCAUCCCAUACACAGGAUAGCACAUACCACGGCCUUUGAUAUACCAGUCGUGGUGCUCUGUCUGGAAAGAGAAAUAGCUCAAUGGUCCCACCGACGGAGAAUGAUCCCAGACCAAAGGUGUAUUAGUGAAUAUGACAAAAAGAAAGGUCUACCAUUGUGUAUAAUGAACAACAUCAUAUCUGCAGUUUCCCAUGACAAGCGAGUUGAUAUAUUUAACAACGUCAGUAGGCUCCAAUCAGUGCUGCCAAGUGUUCAGUUACCAGUGCGACUUCAAACGGUUCUGUGAUCUUCCGUUCGCUAAACUCGAAUCCACAGGAGCCUGCACACCAGGGACGUAUGGUUUGGACUGCAGCUACACCUGUCACUGUACUACUAACUGCAAUGGUGUCACAGGCUGUUCCGGCAGAUGUCAAAGAGGAUGGUCUGGACCCAAAUGCAAUAAGGAAAACAUAGCUUUGGAUAAAGGAACCAGCCAGAGUUCUUACUGGAAAACUCGGGUAAAAUCGUCACGUGCUGUAGAUGGGAGUCUCCAGACGCGUUUUGGUGACCAUUCGUGUAUCCACACAGCAAUUGGACGUCCGUUCACCUGGUGGCAGGUAGACCUGGGCAGUGAAUUAUACAUACACAAGUUAGCCAUUCAUUUAAGGACAGACUCCAAAAGUCGCAGAAAAGGCGUUACUGUGUACAGCUCAGUUGCUGAAAACCAAACAAACACUGGUCACCUGUGUGGUUCAACCACAUCAACCAGUCCAGAUGUGACGUGGAUGACAUGUGACGAUACAGCUAGAUACAUCACACUCUACCGAAAUGACAGCAGCAACAGAGACACGGCGAUGACCUUCUGUGAAGUCCAAGUAUUUGUCUGUGUUGCUGGCACUUUCGGUGAUGACUGCAGUCAGUUCUGUCACUGUCGAGAUGGACCGUGUAACUAUGUAACUGGAGAAUGUUCGGGAGGAUGUAAACCAAACUGGACUGGACAGACGUGCAGUGUCUGUGUUGCUGGCAGUUUCGGUGAUGACUGCAGUCAGUUAUGUCACUGUCGAGAUGGACCGUGUAACUAUGUAACUGGAGAAUGUUCGGGAGGAUGUAACCCAAACUGGACUGGACAGACGUGCAGUGUCUGUGUUGCUGGCACUUUCGGUGAUGACUGCAGUCAGUUCUGUCACUGUCGAGAUGGACCGUGUAACUGUGUAACUGGAGAAUGUUCGGGAGGAUGUAACCCAAACUGGACUGGACAGACGUGCAGUGAGUGUGAUUCUGAACAUUAUGGUCCUCUGUGCGAAAAACCUUGUUCCGACAGACACUGUGAUGAAUCACGUGGUAAAUCAUCAUGCAACAAAACGAGUGGACGGUGUGAUAACGGAUGCACAGCAGGAUGGAAUGAACCAGAUUGUACAAAGGGGUGUGAUGGCAAAUAUGGCCCAGUGCCAGACACUGUAAAGCUGAUGAUGCACAAUGCGAUCACGUGACUGGUUCAUGUGAUGGACCAUGUGAUGCUGGUUGGCAAGGAGUUACGUGCACAGAUAGUUGUGAUUCAAAGCAUUACGGUGUGAAUUGUGAAUCGUUGUGUGAAGACAGACACUGCAAUGGUGAACAACUCUGUCACCAUGAACUAGGAUAUUGUAAUGGCGGAUGUCUCACAGGGUGGACUGGAC